rnacentral:rRNA from 1 species
UACAGGGGGUGGCAAACGUUGCUCGGAAUCAUUGGGCGUAAAGCGCACGUAGGCGGUCUGUUAUGUCGGAUGUGAAAGCCCUUGGCUCAACUGAGGAAGUGCAUCCGAAACUGGCAGGCUAGAGUACUAAAGAGGGUCGCGGAAUUCCCGGUGUAGAGGUGAAAUUCGUAGAUAUCGGGAGGAACACCGGUGGCGAAGGCGGCGACCUGGGGUAGAUACUGACGCUGAGGUGCGAAAGCGUGGGGAGCAAACAGG